rnacentral:rRNA from 1 species
AUGACACUGGACUUCACCAAGCACUUCACCGCCGCCCCUCAGGAAUUCAAGCUCAAGACCAACAUCGGUUGCACCUGUAAGGUGACGGUCCGAGUGAUCAACGGUAGGGUCACCCUUGACCAAGGUUGGUCCCCCUACGCUACUGUUCACCAAAUCAAGAUUUGGUACCUCGUCACUUUCAAGCUGCUGACUCUGGGCAGCCUCAAGUUGACCGUCUUCAAUAAAGAUGACGUCAAGGUGGUGACGAAGUGCAAGAAGCAUGACGUGGCCUUCGCCAUGGGCGUCUAG